rnacentral:misc_RNA from 1 species
AGGAAGUGCAAAUGGGUUGAAUUAGAAGCAAUGACGAAAACUUAAAUAUUUCAUUAUCGUUAAAGAUACAAAAUAAAGUCUGAUCUAAGAAAGUAGUUUUGUAAAAAUGGCAGAUAUGAAACAUGAUAUUUCAUCUUUAGCAACUUUCUACAGGAAGAAAAUAUUUAUGGCCUUAUCGUUUGUUUUAAUAAGGAAAGCUAGGGAAGCUGGAGUACCAGUAAUCACUUACGUAAAAAACCUACAGUACAGAUAUCUUAAGGAAAAUCAAGAUUGCAUUAAUCCUAUCUUGGAACAGAAGUUUUUGAGCCACAACCAACAAGAAUUAAAAGACAAGUUAAAAGAACUGCAAGGAACUCUAUCUCUAUCUGGCGAGAACAAUGUAGGGCUGCAAGAAGAUUUCACAACGAGAGAGGAUGGAUUUCUCAAGGAAAGUAAUGAUUGGACUUCAGCAUCAGAACAAAGGCCAAUAAAUGAAAUUCCACCUAGCCUGUACCCUCAAAGAGUUUUCAGUUAUGAACAUUUUGCACUAAAAUAUUUACGGUUUAUUGAAUCAAUAUUAAUGAUAAAGGACGAAAUUGAACUUAAGGCUCCAAUCCAAACCUCAUAUUUACAAACUGUGUUGUAUGAUGAAGCUGAAUAUGCGAGUUACAAGAAUAGUGUAGUCAAUUGUGAUGCUAAAACAAUGUCUGAUGAUUCUGGAUUUGAAUGCAGUGAAUAUUCAAAAGACAAUACACAAAAAACUAUCAACUAUGUGUCUGGUGAUGUCAUCAAGGUCACUCUACAGUCAUCAAAUACCAACCAUUUGGUAGCAAACUCUUUAAAAUUUGUUCUAAAUUAUGUAAAACAAGAAAUAAAACUGAAUACCGUGAUGAUCUUCCACAAUUGGAAGAAUUCCCUGACUGAAUAUGCUUGUGAAAUUCUCAAAGAAUGCUCACGCUACAGCAGCUUUUGUCGAGAGCUGCAUCUGAACUUGGUGUUUGAAUUGCUGGAGGAUCUGUGGAAUGACAGAAGACUGGCUGAGUUUCAGCAUACUACAAGAAGAAGAAGAAGAAGGACAACAUGCAAAUGAUUUUCUUGAGGAAAAUCACACAAAUAAAAACCAGAACUCUAUGCUGAUAGUCAAGGAAGAGAUAUUCCAGGGAUGUCGGACAGUGCAGCAAGGGGAAAAUGUAUAUGGGUGGUUUAGUUAAACCAAGCACUAAUAUCCAGUAUGUGUAUGAUCAAGCAUCAAAAUCACUAGAUAAACCAAUUGUCUUAAUAGCUGGGACCAAUGACAUAUCAAGGAAAUCAUGUACAAAAUGUCAUGUACAAAAAUAUGGAAAGCAAACUAGAAGAGCUUAGUAAAUAAAGAGCUGUGUGGAUCACAACCAUCUCUCCUCGUUUUGUUAAAGAGUAGAAUGAUACAAUACAUUAUGAUUUAGUCUUGGCAAACAGGCAAAUUAAAGACUGUAUCAAAACUGGAAAAUGUUGAGCUCAUUGAUCUUGAUACGUUUAAAAGAAACCAAGUCUUACACCAAGACAUGUACCCUAAUUACAGUGAAUCUUCAGUGGGAGUUAGCAGUCCAUAUCAUUAACGAACUUCUCACAUGCUUUGAAGUGUGUAGUGAAGUUAUGCAAUAUAUGCAUGAUAAGUUUAACCACUUUAUCAAGUGUGUGAUGAAAGAGGUGGACAUUUCAC